rnacentral:rRNA from 1 species
UCCCAACAGCUAGCUCCCCAAAAUACAACAACACAUUAUUUUAACCCCUAAGAACCCAACCCCAAAACAAACCAUUUUUCCCCCUUAGUAUGGGAGACAGAAAAGGACCGAAGCAAUAGUUAAAGUACCGCAAGGGAAUGCUGAAAGAAAAUGAAACAAAUCAGUUAAGCGUUAUAAAGCAGAGCUUAGCCCUCGUACCUUUUGCAUCAUGAUUUAGCCAGAGAAGGGGAUUGCGCUGUUAUCCCUAGGGUAACUCGGUCCGUUGAUCGCUUUAGCGGAUCAUUAUUGGUCAGAAUUUCUGUUAGUUAGAGUUGUCACUCUUACCUGAGAGGGGGUUGCCCCCAUACCACACGGGGGUUUUGUUUUACUCCGUGGUCGCCCCAACCAAAGACAAGUUGGACAGUAGCCACUAGGUUCACCAUUAUUUUAGGGUUCCUUAACAUGGUCUGUUUUAUGUCUAAAGCUCCAUAGGGUCUUCUCGUCUUAUGGGGUUAUUCCCGCUUCUGCACGGGAAGAUCAAUUUCAUUGACUUGAGAAAGGAGACAGUUUAGCCCUCGUCGUGCCAUUCAUACAGGUCUUCAUUUAAAAGACAAGUGAUUGCGCUACCUUCGCACGGUCAGAGUACCGCGGCCGUUAAACGUUAGUCACAGGGCAGGCGGGACCUCUUAUUCAAGAGGCGAUGUUUUUGGUAAACAGGCGGGGCUGUUUGCCGAGUUCCUUCUUUCUCUUUUAGUCUUUCC